rnacentral:rRNA from 1 species
UAAACGACUCUCGGCAACGGAUAUCUCGGCUCUUGCAUCGAUGAAGAACGUAGCGAAAUGCGAUACUUGGUGUGAAUUGCAGAAUCCCGUGAACCAUCGAGUCUUUGAACGCAAGUUGCGCCUGAAGCCAUUGGGUUGAAGGCACGUCUGCCUGGGCGUCACGC